UACGUAGGUGGCAAGCGUUACUCGGAAUCACUAGGCGUAAAGCGCAGGUAGGCGGUUGGAUAAGUUUAUUGUGAAAGCUCCCGGCUUAACUGGGAGAGGCCAAGGAAUACUGUUUGACUAGAGUGUGGUAGGGGUAACUGGAAUUCCCGGUGUAGAGGUGAAAUUCGUAGAUAUCGAGAGGAACACCGGUGGCGAAGGCGGCGGCCUGGGUGGAUACUGACGCUGAGGCGCGAAAGCGUGGGGAGCAAACAGG
rnacentral:rRNA from 1 species